rnacentral:rRNA from 1 species
UUGGAGGGCAAGUCUGGUGCCAGCAGCCGCGGUAAUUCCAGCUCCAAUAGCGUAUAUUAAAGUUGUUGCAGUUAAAAAGCUCGUAGUUGAAUUUCGGGAUUCUACCGUUGGUCGGGCUAACAAGUCUGUACUGGUGUGUAGAAUUUCUACCUUCUGGGGAACUAUCAUGUUAUUAAUUUAGCGUGGUGGGAAACCAGGACCUUUACCUUGAAAAAAUUAGAGUGUUCAAAGCAGGCUUACGUCUGAAUACAUUAGCAUGGAAUAAUAGAAUAGGACGGUGGUCCUGUUUUGUUGGUUUCUGAAUCACCGUAAUGAUUAAUAGGGAUAGUUGGGGGCAUUAGUAUUCAAUUGUCAGAGGUGAAAUUCUUGGAUUUAUUGAAGACUAACUUCUGCGAAAGCAUUUGCCAAGGAUGUUUUCAUUAAUCAAGAACGAAAGUUAGGGGAUCGAAGACGAUCAGAUACGUCCGUAGUGUUACCUAACUAACUAAACUAGUCGACCGUACGGUAAGGUACGGUACCGGGAACGUAGUUAAAGUUUUUAAAUUUUUUCGUUUACGUACCG